GACGAACGCUGGCGGCGUGCUUAACACAUGCCAGUCGAACGGAAAGGCCCUGCUUUUGUGGGGUGCUCGAGUGGCGAACGGGUGAGUAACACGUGAGUAACCUGCCCUUGACUUUGGGAUAACUUCAGGAAACUGGGGCUAAUACCGGAUAGGAGCUCCUGCUGCAUGGUGGGGGUUGGAAAGUUUCGGCGGUUGGGGAUGGACUCGCGGCUUAUCAGCUUGUUGGUGGGGUAGUGGCUUACCAAGGCUUUGACGGGUAGCCGGCCUGAGAGGGUGACCGGCCACAUGGGGACUGAGAUACGGCCCAGACUCCUACGGGAGGCAGCAGUGGGGAAUAUUGCACAAUGGGCGGAAGCCUGAUGCAGCAACGCCGCGUGCGGGAUGACGGCCUGCGGGUUGUAAACCGCUUUCGCCUGUGACGAAGCGUGAGUGACGGUAAUGGGUAAAGAAGCACCGGCUAACUACGUG
rnacentral:rRNA from 1 species